AUGGAGAGCGGCGGCGCCCAAGAAGUCCCGUCGUCGAUGGCUCCGAGGAGCCGAACGACCUUGGGCGACGACAACCCAAUCGAAGAAAAGAGAAGAGGGAUGGGGGGCGGUGGCGCGGAAGCCGUCUCAUCGUCGAUGACUCCGUGGGGCCGCGACGAUCCAAACGAAGAGAAGAUAGGCGGCCCGCAGGCGGUUGCAUCGUCGACGGCUCCCCGGCGCAGGGUAGCCUUGGGCGCCGACGGGCGCCCCCUCGACGGCGUCAUGCGCGGUGAACUGCUUCGCAACUUGAAGCAUGGCGAUGGAUCCAUCUACACAAGCAACAGUUACUGGGCUAGAGUUUAUCGUCUCUACGAUACCAGCGAGACUUGUCUGGAGUCAAUGAUGAUGACGGUGCCUUAUGACAGUUGCAUGCCUAACUGGAGGGUUUGUAAAAGGCAUGCCUAUCGCACCAUGAUGCAGAUAUUCUCGCUGAAGCUAGCUUACACUUCUUCAUAUGUUGGUGGCCCAGUUCAGUUGUAUGGAUACGUGGCUGUCAGAGAUCUGUUGAACCCUAUGCGAAAUUACGUCUUCAACCGUACAAGAAAUGAUCCUUUGGUGGUCGAGCAUGAUGGCUUUAUACAAAUGUCUGGCCCCAAGAGAGGCAUCAGAAUGCAAGCUCCCGUGCUGAUAGAGUUCAAUCUGAAGAUUAAGACAGGAGGAGAAGAAGAAGGUGAUGAUCAACAGGUCAUUGAUGGUGUUGCCAUAUUCGGCGACAGAAUCUCAGGGCAUGCCAGGGUAAACACGCAGCGAAUGGAUGGUGAUGGUGGCUCAGUGGACAUAAAGUUUGCAGUUCUGGAACGUGCCUCGGAGGCCACUGUACAGGUUGGGAUAUCAGAAAUUGAGAAGGGCAGUUGCUUAAGCUUGUGUUUGGCAGGAUCUUACACUAGCCCAUCUUAUGUUUCACAUGGGAAAAUUCAGCUGUUUGAUGGGGUUAUCACUGCGGAGGCAUCCGAGCUAAGCAGGGCCGUGGUUGCUGUGGCGCGAGAUAGUAAGCUGGUUGUAAAACUGAAGCUUAGUCAGAAGGGUGGGUUGGACAUCCAUCGAUGCACUAUCUUCCCGGUUGAAAAGCAUGGAAGUCAGUCCUUCAUUUUCAAUCUUGGUGUGGCCACUGUGGAGGUGAUGGUAACUUGGUCAACAAUGGAUAUUCCCCAAAGUCUUCUUGGGCCUAAUUGCUUUGCGCAUGAGUUCAUGGCAUCUGAGGGCGUUGAGUAUGUCGAUGAAUAA
rnacentral:rRNA from 1 species